CUGAUGGCCCUCAACUUGUGGCCUGGCUAGCUUUGGCAGUUUUAGUCAGAGGAGCUAUUGGAGGACCUCCAGAUCUCUCUCAAUUCAGCAAAUUUCCUCAACUCUUUGAAACCCAGUUUAUGAGUCUAUAAAUCGAGCUCCUAACCUUCAGCCCCCUGCCUGCUGAGAUAAGGACUCAAGUUUCAGCAAAGGCUUGGGAGCUCGGCAAGAUCCUGGUUGAAGUUACAAACAGCUCUGAUUGGAAGGAAGCUCACAAUAAAAUGGUUACAUGCACCAUUCCAAACAGGAACCAUCACAUGGCUCUCCCACAUGGGAGGCCACUGGGCACCAGGAAGAGGACAGAUAAAGGAUCCUUCCAGGUUACUCAGCAGCAGAUGAUCAGCAGGCCUGCAGCUGUCCUAUAGUCUCCUAAGAAGUGGUACCACUUCUUUCCAUCUGUAGAGAUGGCCUUCCAGACAUUCCCUUCAAAAACUUAACAGGCAAAGCAAAACCAAAAUCCACACAUGCCUCUUUGUGUUACUUUUGAAGUUCCAAAGCUGUGUUUCAAGAAAAGCUCCUGAAGUGACAGAGAGGUGACUCACUCCUCACACUGGCAUUUCAUGUGCUGGGCACUUCACCCCUGAACAUUAAAUCUGCUGUGUGUGAGUCAGAGCAAACCACCUUCCCCACUUUAGAGUCUCCAAGGAUUUACUGUGAAACCCCACAAAACUCUUUGGUUUCCUUUCUGAUAAACACACCACAUAUCCUGGGCCUGUUUGUGAUAUCUGGACUACCUUAACAGACUUUUCUGUGAAAUCAGAAGAUGCCCUUGUUUGUCCAAAAAAUCAUAGAAAUGAGCUACAGAAAUGUCUCAGUGAGCUGUCGAGUUCUAUGGCAAGAAAGAUGCUUGCAGUUUUCAUGAAGGCAUACAUGGGAGUCCACUGUCCACCUUGAAGAUGAUAAAACCUAAGAGAUGAGACAGCUGUAGGACCAAGGCUUCAGAUGGCAGACGUGGAAGGAAGACCACAGCUCAAGCAGCAUGGAUCAGGAAGAGUAGUAAAAGCCCUUGCCACAGCACAGUUCAGCACUCCGCCCAAGCUUCUUCCUUCUCAUAAGAUAUUUUUCGAAUUGUAAAAUUAUUUUAGCAGACACAGAGCAUGGUACAUUAAUAAAUGAUCAAGUGGUGUGUGCUUUUAAAUGCCCGAUUUGGUCUCCAUAAAGAAACUGGCAAAUAUUCCAUUAACCACAAGCCAUGUCGUCAUUAUUUAAACUUGAAACACAUUUUUCCCAUCUCCUGCUGGAGAGGCUCAUGGAGACUGCUGAGUCUGCGCUUGAAAACUGACUUUUAAACAAAAAGAUCGAGCGGGAUUAUUUAUGAAUGUGUGUAAAUUAUGUAAUGGUUUCAUUGAGAUCUCAGGGACUUCUAAGAAGCAGAAAGUCCCCUGCCGUGUACACAUCUCAUUUAAUACCCCUGUUUCAUCUUUUCCUCCGCUUCAGAGAUUUUCAGCAGUUCCAGAUUCACUUUGAAACAAUAGCUCAUUUUGAAAUGUAAUUUAGAUAUAUUUAUUAUGUGUUCUGGGUUAGAAUAAAAUAUUGCUUUGCUGGGAAAAAAGAAAAGAAAAAAACUCAAGCAUUACAUACAAUCACAAAGGAAAUUGUUCCUGAAAGCCAUUAUUCAUUCAUGAUAAUGGGCAGGUGGUGGAGUUACACCACCAAACAAAAUCACGCUCAGUAAGGACAAGUAGAAAAAUCAGAAAAUAAUCAAUGAUGUGAGAAACGGCAUGUGCUUAGACACAUGCUCUCCCCUGACUUCACCAAGAGAGGUAGAGGCAAGGAUUGCUGUUCCCAUGGUUGUGUAACGUAAAGCACUCCAGAACCAUAAGAGGAGAAAAGGCUCUGACUACAGACAGCUGCCAGAGAAAACAAAUGUGUGAGAAAGGAAAGAGGACAAGAGAGGGAGGUGAAAGAGAAAUCAUAAGAAAAAGAAUUGGUGAUGCAAAGUCCUAGAGGGGUUUUAGGGACCGUUAUGCAUUGUGUAUUCACAGUGAAGAAAGGACAGAUGUUUUUAAAAGGUGGCAAAGGAAUAAGAGACAAAUGAGGUCUCCGUGGAAAACAUAGCACCUUUGCCUGUGCUCUUUAUGGCGUGUCCCUAUCCCACCUAAAUGGGGAACUAGGCAAAACAAGCAGGUAAUGUUGUUCCUGUUAUAAAUAUUUAAUGUUUUUAGAUGCCACAUGGACUCUGAUGUAUGCUCUAACCCACAGGUUUAAAGACUACUUUUAAAAUUCAAAGAGAUCGUAUGUGAAAAUACUUCAAAGCCUAUAACAUAUUAACUAAAGUUUUUAAAUUAUUCCUCUACCACGGAAUGUUAUUCUAAUUGCUAAUGAUAUAAGGAAAGAAUCAAGAAGUCAUUAAAUCAAUUCUUCUGUGAACCUUGCUGAUCCUAAAAAUAUGGAUGCUUUCUGGGGCCAAAACAAUAAUUAAAAAGAUAAAUAUGUAUUUCUAAGUCAAGUCAAACAAUUGGAAAAUGAGGACUCAUUAAGAAUACUUUAAUCAUCUCAUUAUUUCUACAGCAAGGUUGUAUAUAAAUAAGUUUAAUUGUUUUCAGGCUAGGUCCAAGCAAAACAUUUGAAACGACAAGUUUGUUUUUGUUUAUUUCCCUAGGUAAAAGCUGCGCUUGACAGAAACUGACUGACUUCCAUGGGGAUAAAUCCUUCAGUGACAAAAUAGGUUAUGGAAAGGCAUAUGGGUGUAGUGACAUUUUGGUUUAAUUAUCUAGCCCACUGUACAAACACAUGUUGAUAAUAAGAAAACAAGUCUAAUUUCAAGUUGCUGUAAGCAGAAAUGAAAACUCCCAUCCAGUGAAGACAUUUCCACCAUAGAAUUUUCAAAGUGGCCUUUUCAGAUUUCAUGAUUCACCUGGUUAAUAGAGAUUCACUUAAAACUACUCUCUUGCUAACACACAGCCCAGCACACCAGUGAGGAUAGAUAGAUAGGUAGGUAGAUAGAUAGAUAGAUAGAUAGAUAGAUAGAUAGAUAGAUAGAUGAUAGAUAGAAGAAAGAUAGAUAGAUGAUAAAUAGAUAGAUGAUAGAUAGAUAGAUAGAUAGAUAGAUAGAUAGAUAGAUAGAUAGAUAGAUAGAUAGAUAGAUAAUAGAUAGAUGAUGGAUAGAUAGAUAAUAGAUAGAUGAUGGAUAGAUAGAUGAUAGAUAGAUGAUAGAUAGAUAGAUAGAUAGAUGAUAGAUAGAUAGAUAGAUAGAUAGAUAGAUAGAUAGAUAGAUGAUAGAGAGAUAGAUAAUAGAUAGAUGGAUGGAUAGAUGACAGAUAGAUAGAUAGAUAAUAGAUGGAUGGAUGGAUAGAUAGAUAGAUAGAUAGAUAGAUAGAUAGAUAGAUAGAUAGAUAGACAGACAGACAGAUACUUACCUACACUACCUCAGUCAUGGAAGAAAUGGAGUCCCCUCUAUUUCCCCUUCUUUUCACCUCUUGUCGUACCUCUUUAUGCACAACACAAAGAAUGAGUCUUUCUUAGCUUCCUCCAGAACAGAAGCAAGUUCCUUCCAAAACAGGACAUAAAUGCGCUUAGUAAAACCUGAGAUUUUAGCUUUGCAGGGUGUCUGGCUUGUCUUUUAGGAAGUUAUGGACAGAUAUGUCUUUAGUCAGUGUCGACAGAAACAGUUUCACCAAAGCUUGGCUUAUAUUCAUUAGAAAAGCAAGCAGGACUUGCAUUCUCGGUGAGCUCGGAAAUGUCACUGCCCCAAAUCACAACAAAGUCCAGCCACUGUGUGUGUGUGUGUGUGUGUGUGUGUGUGUGUGUGUGUGUGUGUCUCACCCCCACCCCAAUACAGUCUACUCACCCCAAUACAGACUAAAGUAUGGAUACCACCAAAGUCCAACUUGGUGAACCAAUACAUUUUAUUAAAGUUGUUUAUGGAAAUAUGUGUGACGGGAUACAUAUAGGAACAGAAUGACUCAAAGACAGUUGAAUUAUCAAAUCCUACUCCAAGGAUGACAGCUCACACAAACUGGGAAUGUGAAGCACACCGCACAGCCUGACGUAAUGAGUUUCCCUGCAGGAUGGAAUAUUUCAACCUUAGAGGAAACUUACAUGGCACGUCCUCUGCAGAGUGUAUCAUUUACUUACUCCAUUACUAUAAUCAAAUGCCUGACAAAAUACAUCCUAAGGCUUCCUUCUGGAUCACAAUUCAAGGACACUGUCCAUCCUUGCAGGGAAGGCAUGAUGGCAGGAGGGUGAGGCAGCUGGCCGCACUGCCUCCGUGUUCAGGAAGCAAGAAAAAAUUAAUGUUGAUGCUCCAAUGGCUUUCUCGGUUGUUUUUGCCUCAAGCCCUUGAGGUGAUGGUGCUCGCCUUCAGGUUCUUCCUCCUCAGUGAAAUGUCACUGGAGCCAAACCUCACCGAUCCUCCAGAGCAUCCUCAGGGAUACUCCAAAAGGUUUGCCACACUUAUGGCUGAGGCAUGUAUCAAUCCAGUCAUAUUUACAAUCAGGAUUACUAUUUCAUAAUGUAAGACACUACUUAUAGGAUUAUCACUUAUAUUAAUAUCUCACUAUGCACGGACCCAGAUAAAGGUUGUCAGCUUUCAUCAAAGAAUAACAAUCCUGGCCAAUUCUUUCUGUCCAAGGACUGCUUGACAAAUGUGCAUAUUUCGAAUUUGAUUUUUAUAAGUAUAAGAAUAAAUUCUGCCUUUUAAAGAAACAUUUUUACAUUCUUUGCUCCUCCCAUUUCAUUUCUUGUCUCUUUUACUAAUAAUCAAACAAAAAGUUAAAGAAGUAAACCAAAUCACUGACCAGUCAAAAAAAAAAUCCCUUUGAAUAGAAAAGAACAUACUUAAGGCCUGGGUCUGUAAGACAAGAAACCAAAAUUUGGAGAAGAAAGAUUUUAACAUCAUUAAGAAGAAAGAUCAGUGCACCUCAUGUGGAGAAGAUAAGAAAGAUUUUUACUCCACAGACUAUGGAAUCAAAACAUCUCACUGCAAACAAGAAGGCUCUGGUUUAAGAUGAUUUCUGACCCAGUUAGAAUAAGGAUGAGCCCCACUGUGCUCUCUCUCUUUCUGUUGUCUCUCGCUCCUGAGAAAGAGGAACUGUCUAGGAUCCUUCCAGGGCUGGAUCAACACUGUUACCACUAUAAUGGGAUUCAGACCACCAAGAAAAGCUAGCAGAAGCCUGUGAACAAGGCAGAGAGCUAUUUUCCUUAGUCUGACCAAUAACUUAUCAGCCUCACAAGUUUCCCAAAUCUCUCUUACAGCUUUGUGCUCUGCUGAAAAAUAUAAAAACUGAUGCAGAGAAAAUAGAGGAAACUGGCACUCGAUAUGCUUAAGGCUUAGAGGAAUCAACAGCCCCUGGUAGUGUCACACUUCAGUAAAGUCUACAUUGUUAUGGUUCAGUGAGAAGUGUCCCUUAUAGGCUUCCGUUUUCAAACACUUUGUCUCCAGCCAGAGGGAGGUUGUGAGUUGUUAAGGUUGCACUGUUUUUCGGAAGAAAUACAUUGCUAGGGUUCACCAUCAAGGUUAUAUCUGCCUGUGGCUAUAGCUACAGUCCUCUGCUUCCUGCUUUUCCAAGAUGUGAGAGCCCUCUGCCACACACUUCUGUUGCUAUAGACAGACAUGUUGCUAUUGUCAAGGCUAAAAUCAGAAGCCAAAGUAAGUCUUUAUUCCAUGUUCCUUCAUGUCGGUUUUGUCAUUAGUCACACUGGUAAGAUAAAUCACUAGCAAAGACAGGUUCUGAUCUAAUCGCACAGCUCAUGAGCAUUUGGUACUCAAGGAUAUGGGUUAUGCUUGAAUCCAGGAUCGAGUAGAGAAGGGAUGUGCUUUGGAAGAACCAAACUUGAAAUGUGAUCUCAAGAAGGCAUAGGAGAGAUGUAGCGAGAGUGUUCACAAGGGGACAAAACAUUGGGAAGCCCAGAGAUAUGAGCCAGUGUGGAAUCAUCUAAAUGGAUCCAGUGGCCACAGAUCAGACAAACAGGCAACAAAGGAAGACAGGACAUGUUCUGUGAUGUUUAAGAUGAGUAAAUACUGAGUCAGUAAGUAUGCAAAUGAGGGAUGGACAGACAGGUUUGUAGUUACAGAGUCGCCAGUUAUUGCCAGGUCUCCUGUAUUAGCAAAAGGUUAUUUAAGAGAACCCCACAUAUUUCCCUCUUUGGACAUCCCCUGAUUUAUCUUUUUAAAAUCAAGUAAGAAGGAAGCUGAAAAGUAAAAGAAAAAAUGAUAGGCAUGUAUCUCCUUCACCCAGAGUCAAAGUGAAUGGCAGCCAUUUGCAAGAAGGUGCAAACAUAGGACCAAUUGUGGACCUGUGCCUCACAUAGUGGGGUUUUAUGAAGUUCAAACAUGGAAACAUCUAAACUCCCAUCUACCAUGGAAGGAUUUAAGCAAAGUUAACAUUUCCACAUUGAUUUCCCCUUUGCUGUUUAAUGAAGUAAUCGGUUUUUACUACAAAAAGAAAAAAACUUGCCUUAGGGCAACUCAACAUCAAGUAAAGAGUACAUAUAAGAUGCACAAUGAUGUGGCCAUCACAGUGCAAGCAACUUCUAGACAUAGCCACACUACAGACUUCAGAAAGAACAGGAUUUUGCUACUUUUGUCUACGAUUGAUUGAUCAACCACACCUUGCAGAACCCAUUGUUAGCUGCCCUACCAAGAAACCACUGAAUAUGUUCAUUCUGUUUGGACAGAAAGAACAGUUUUAAAAAAGAAAAGAGAAGAGAUAAGAAAAGAAAAAAACGAAGUAUCUAGCUACCUCAGACAGUAGAGAAGAGCAGACUGGUGUAAAAGCUAACUGUUACAUCAGGGUCUACUGGGAAGCAGCUGAGAUACAGGUGUUGUGUGCUGCAAUUGUAGUCAGAAGCAUUCAGCAAGCGUCCACUCAGCGGUGUUUUCACAGAUGCAAUAUCUGUGCCUAUCAGACUAAUGUUUAAAAGUAUGAUUUCGCCUUAGAAUGUGUAGCUUUGCAUCAACUUUGGGUACAAAAGAAGACAUGCUGCUUGCUAGUAAUAAAAGCUUGAGAUCUUAAAUUUGGGAAGUCUUGCAUGUGCCCUGUCUUCUUUGGAAGGUAGCCUCAGGGCUGCUGCCAGAAACUGGUAUUUCUUUUUGUCAUAAGAAGCCAUCACCUCCUCUUCCCUUCCAGCAAACAUCUUGAAUGCUAUAUUUAGCAGAACUCUCUUCGAGAUUUGAAGGCCAUUACCUUGUGUCUGACUUUGACACAGGGUGAUGUCAAAAUCAUAUUGUUUUACAUUAAACAAACUUUGGUUUCAGUUACUUGCUCUAGGCUCAACUUUGAUACAUAAAGAAGGUUGAAGCUUGUCCCUAUAAAUGAAUUACAUUUGUACUUAGCAUAGCUAGAAACAUAUCUCUGAGUAGGUUAAAUAAGUUAGUAUUAAGGUAACUGACCAGUAAUGGGUAAGUUUUAAUUGUCUUUAACAGUAUACAAUAAAUUAAUGAGAUCAGGAUUUUAUGAUUUUAUUUGUUAAAUUUGAGCCUUAAAGUUUAUACUUUUUAACUGCAAAUCUAUUAGUAUCAAAAUAAACUUCAGACCAUAGGCAGACCACACAAGAUUGAAAACCUAGGGUUUUUUUUUUUCUCAAAUUCUUAUAUAGUAUACU